rnacentral:rRNA from 1 species
AUUAGAUACCCUAUUAUUUUUAUUGUAAAAGUUUAAACCUGAGUAGUAGUAGUUAUGGUCUUGAAACUUAAAGAAUUUGGCGGUAUUAUAAUCUAUUUAGAGGAAUCUGUUAUGUAAUUGAUAAUCCGCAUUGAACCUUACUUAUAUUAUUUCUUGUAUACCGCUGUUUAUGAAAAUAUUAUAAGAUUAAUAUUCUUAAUGUAGAAUUAAACAUUAUUUCAAGUCAAGGUGCAGUAAUAUAUAAGUUGAAUAAUGGAUUACAAUAAAUUUUAUUUAUUAACGAAUAAAUUGUUUAAAGGUAAGUUUUGAAGGUGGAUUUAAUUGUAAUUUUUUGAAGAUUGUAAAAAUGAUUAUGGCUCUAUAAUAUGCACACAUCGCCCG